rnacentral:rRNA from 1 species
UACGUAGGGGGCAAGCGUUGUCCGGAUUUAUUGGGCGUAAAGAGCGUGUAGGCGGCCAGACAGGUCCGUUGUGAAAACUCGAGGCUCAACCUCGAGACGCCGAUGGAAACUGUCUGGCUAGAGUCCGGAAGAGGAGAGUGGAAUUCCUGGUGUAGCGGUGAAAUGCGCAGAUAUCAGGAAGAACACGCGUGGCUAAGGCGGCUCUCUAGUACGGUACUGACGCUGAGACGCGAAAGCGUGGGGAGCGAACAGG